rnacentral:rRNA from 1 species
GACGAACGCUGGCGGCGUGCUUAACACAUGCAAGUCGAACGGAAAGGCCCUGCUCUUGUUGGGUGCUCGAGUGGCGAACGGGUGAGUAACACGUGAGUAACCUGCCCUUGACUUUGGGAUACCUCCAGGAAACUGGGGCUAAUACCGGAUAGGAGCUCCUGCUGCAUGGGGGGGGUUGGACAGUUUCGGCGGUUGGGGAUGGACUCGCGGCUUAUCAGCUUGUUGGUGGGGUAGUGGCAUACCAAGGCUUUGACGGGUAGCCGGCCUGAGAGGGUGACCGGCCACAUUGGGACUGAGAUACGGACCAGAGUGCUACGGGAGGCAGCAGUGGGGAAUAUGGCACAGUGGGCGGAAGCCUGAUGCAGCGACGCCGCGUGCGGGAUGACGGCCUUCGGGUUGUAAACCGCUUUCGCCUGUGACGAAGCGUGAGUGACGGUAAUGGGUAAAGAAGCACCGGCUAACUACGUG